rnacentral:rRNA from 1 species
UACGUAGGGGGCAAGCGUUGUCCGGAUUUAUUGGGCGUAAAGGGCUCGUAGGCGGUUUGUCGCGUCGGGAGUGAAAUCCACUGGCUUAACUGGUGGCUUGCUUUCGAUACGGGCAGACUGGAGGUAUGCAGGGGAGAACGGAAUUCCUGGUGUAGCGGUGAAAUGCGCAGAUAUCAGGAGGAACACCGGUGGCGAAGGCGGUUCUCUGGGCCUUACCUGACGCUGAGGAGCGAAAGCGUGGGGAGCGAACAGG